rnacentral:rRNA from 1 species
UACAGAGGUCCCAAGCGUUGUUCGGAUUCACUGGGCGUAAAGGGUGCGUAGGCGGUCGGGUAAGUCUGAUGUGAAAUCUCACAGCUUAACUGUGAAACUGCAUUGGAUACUAUUCGGCUUGAGAGUUGGAGGGGGGACUGGAAUUCUUGGUGUAGCAGUGAAAUGCGUAGAUAUCAAGAGGAACACCAACGGCGAAAGCACUCUGCUGGGCCGACACUGACACUGAGAGACGAAAGCUAGGGGAGCGAAUGGG